rnacentral:rRNA from 1 species
GACGAACGCUGGCGGCGUGCUUAACACAUGCAAGUCGAACGGACAGGCCCUGCUCUUGUUGGGUUCUCGAUUGGCGAACGGGUGAGUAACACGUGAGUAACCUGCCCUUGACUUUGGGAUAACUUCAGGAAACUGGGGCUAAUAUCGCAGAUGAGCUCCUGCUGCACGGUGUGGGUUGGAAAGUGUCGGCGGUUGGGGAUGGACUCGCGGCUUAUGAGCUUGUUGGUCGGGUAGUGGAUUACCAAGGCUUUGACGGGUAGCCGGCAUGAGAGGGUGGACGGCCACAUUGGGACUGAGAUACGGACCAGACUCGAACGGGAGGCAGCAGUGGGGAGUAUUGCGGAAUGGGCGGACGCCUGAUGCGGAAACGCCGCGUGCGGGAUGACGGCCUUCGGGUUGUAAACCGCUUUGGCAUGAGCCGAAGCGUGAGUGACGGUAAUGGGUAAAGAAGCACCGGCUAACUACGUG